CUAGGACAGUCUAUGACCAUUUUAUCUUCUGUAUCUAGUACCGUUUGUUAUUAACUAUUUGGACAGUGAAGGAAUGAACAAGAAAAGCAGGCAGAAGGAAUGGAGGUGGCAUGUGCUGUGAUUCUGGAAAACACUAACCAAUUCAGGACGAGAUGUUUACUUAGAAAAAAAAAUGUACUGAACAAGAAUGGACCACUGAGGGCUGGAGAGAUGGCUCAGCGGUUAAGAGCGUCCGACCGCUCUUCCAGAGGUCAUGAGUUCAAUUCCCAGCAACCACAUGGUGGCUCACAACCAUCUGUAAAGAGAUCUGACGCCCUCUUCUGGUGUAUCUGAAGACAGCUACAGUGUACUUAUAUAUAAUAAAUAAAUAAAUCUUUAAAAAAAAAAAAAAA